GGCGGCGUGCCUAAUACAUGCAAGUCGAGCGGACAGAUGGGAGCUUGCUCCCUGAUGUUAGCGGCGGACGGGUGAGUAACACGUGGGUAACCUGCCUGUAAGACUGGGAUAACUCCGGGAAACCGGGGCUAAUACCGGAUGGUUGUUUGAACCGCAUGGUUCAGACAUAAAAGGUGGCUUCGGCUACCACUUACAGAUGGACCCGCGGCGCAUUAGCUAGUUGGUGAGGUAACGGCUCACCAAGGCRACGAUGCGUAGCCGACCUGAGAGGGUGAUCGGCCACACUGGGACUGAGACACGGCCCAGACUCCUACGGGAGGCAGCAGUAGGGAAUCUUCCGCAAUGGACGAAAGUCUGACGGAGCAACGCCGCGUGAGUGAUGAAGGUUUUCGGAUCGUAAAGCUCUGUUGUUAGGGAAGAACAAGUGCCGUUCAAAUAGGGCGGCACCUUGACGGUACCUAACCAGAAAGCCACGGCUAACUACGUGCCAGCAGCCGCGGUAAUACGUAGGUGGCAAGCGUUGUCCGGAAUUAUUGGGCGUAAAGGGCUCGCAGGCGGUUUCUUAAGUCUGAUGUGAAAGCCCCCGGCUCAACCGGGGAGGGUCAUUGGAAACUGGGGAACUUGAGUGCAGAAGAGGAGAGUGGAAUUCCACGUGUAGCGGUGAAAUGCGUAGAGAUGUGGAGGAACACCAGUGGCGAAGGCGACUCUCUGGUCUGUAACUGACGCUGAGGAGCGAAAGCGUGGGGAGCGAACAGGAUUAGAUACCCUGGUAGUCCACGCCGUAAACGAUGAGUGCUAAGUGUUAGGGGGUUUCCGCCCCUUAGUGCUGCAGCUAACGCAUUAAGCACUCCGCCUGGGGAGUACGGUCGCAAGACUGAAACUCAAAGGAAUUGACGGGGGCCCGCACAAGCGGUGGAGCAUGUGGUUUAAUUCGAAGCAACGCGAAGAACCUUACCAGGUCUUGACAUCCUCUGACAAUCCUAGAGAUAGGACGUCCCCUUCGGGGGCAGAGUGACAGGUGGUGCAUGGUUGUCGUCAGCUCGUGUCGUGAGAUGUUGGGUUAAGUCCCGCAACGAGCGCAACCCUUGAUCUUAGUUGCCAGCAUUCAGUUGGGCACUCUAAGGUGACUGCCGGUGACAAACCGGAGGAAGGUGGGGAUGACGUCAAAUCAUCAUGCCCCUUAUGACCUGGGCUACACACGUGCUACAAUGGACAGAACAAAGGGCAGCGAAACCGCGAGGUUAAGCCAAUCCCACAAAUCUGUUCUCAGUUCGGAUCGCAGUCUGCAACUCGACUGCGUGAAGCUGGAAUCGCUAGUAAUCGCGGAUCAGCAUGCCGCGGUGAAUACGUUCCCGGGCCUUGUACACACCGCCCGUCACACCACGAGAGUUUGUAACACCCGAAGUCGGUGAGGUAACCUUUUAGGAGCCAGCCGCCGAAGGUGGGACAGAUGAUUGGGGUGAAGUCGUAACAAGGUAGCCGUAUCGGAAGGUGCGGCUGGAUCACCUCCUUUCUAAGGAUUUUAACGGAAUAUAAGACCUUGGGUCUUAUAAACAGAACGUUCCCUGUCUUGUUUAGUUUUGAAGGAUCAUUCGAUUCUUCGAGAUGUUGUUCUUUGAAAACUAGAUAACAGAAGUAAUUCACAUUCRAUUAGUAAUGCAAGAUAUCACGUAGUGAUUCUUUUUAACGGUUAAGUUAGAAAGGGCGCACGGUGGAUGCCUUGGCACUAGGAGCCGAUGAAGGACGGGACGAACACCGAUAUGCUUCGGGGAGCUGUAAGCAAGCUUUGAUCCGGAGAUUUCCGAAUGGGGAAACCCACCACUCGUAAUGGAGUGGUAUCCAUAUCUGAAUACAUAGGAUAUGAGAAGGCAGACCCGGGGAACUGAAACAUCUAAGUACCCGGAGGAAGAGAAAGCAAAUGCGAUUCCCUGAGUAGCGGCGAGCGAAACGGGACCAGCCCAAACCAAGAGGCUUGCCUCUUGGGGUUGUAGGACACUCUGUACGGAGUUACAAAGGAACGAGGUAGAUGAAGAGGUCUGGAAAGGCCCGCCAUAGGAGGUAACAGCCCUGUAGUCAAAACUUCGUUCUCUCCUGAGUGGAUCCUGAGUACGGCGGAACACGUGAAAUUCCGUCGGAAUCCGGGAGGACCAUCUCCCAAGGCUAAAUACUCCCUAGUGACCGAUAGUGAACCAGUACCGUGAGGGAAAGGUGAAAAGCACCCCGGAAGGGGAGUGAAAGAGAUCCUGAAACCGUGUGCCUACAAGUAGUCAGAGCCCGUUAACGGGUGAUGGCGUGCCUUUUGUAGAAUGAACCGGCGAGUUACGAUCCCGUGCAAGGUUAAGCAGAAGAUGCGGAGCCGCAGCGAAAGCGAGUCUGAAUAGGGCGAAUUGAGUACGUGGUCGUAGACCCGAAACCAGGUGAUCUACCCAUGUCCAGGGUGAAGUUCAGGUAACACUGAAUGGAGGCCCGAACCCACGCACGUUGAAAAGUGCGGGGAUGAGGUGUGGGUAGGGGUGAAAUGCCAAUCGAACCUGGAGAUAGCUGGUUCUCUCCGAAAUAGCUUUAGGGCUAGCCUCAAGGUAAGAGUCUCGGAGGUAGAGCACUGAUUGGACUAGGGGCCCCUACCGGGUUACCGAAUUCAGUCAAACUCCGAAUGCCGAUGACUUAUCCUUGGGAGUCAGACUGCGAGUGAUAAGAUCCGUAGUCGAAAGGGAAACAGCCCAGACCGCCAGCUAAGGUCCCAAAGUAUACGUUAAGUGGAAAAGGAUGUGGAGUUGCUUA
rnacentral:rRNA from 1 species